UGCAUUGUCUGUAUGUACAUUGAUGCGAGGCCAAGAGGUAUGUACUCAAGUGUAUAGAUGCACUUUUGAGAACAGAACUGACAAAUUUAUACAUGUAUUAUACAUAUUAAAUACAUGAUUGUACUUAUAUGAAGUCGAAAUGGAAUCCAACUGAGACUAAUGUGUCACACUGUACAAAAAUACAAACAAGGAUCAAACAUAUAUUAUAUUUGUCCGUAGAUGGUAUUCGGUACACAUUCUUAUUUUGUAUAAACUGUCAUUGUUAGCGAAUAUUCAUUUAUAUUUAAUGACUUUAGCUCCAUGUGUAGUUUAGCAUUCUUGAUCUUUGUGGAUAGCCACUGCCUCUCUCUCUCUCUCUCUCUCUCUCUCCCUUUCUCUCGGCUGGAGUCAGUGCGUCCCGCAGAGGUUUACACCCGUAUGCUGACAGCUGAUCUCUUCAUAAAACAUAGCACCACAGGGAGCUCCAUUUAUGACCGUCGCUAUAAACACCAAUAGGAAAAAUCACAAAGGUCAACGUCCAAACAGGAGGGAUGGUGGAACGGAGGUUGUUGAAAAGGGUCGCCUCGCUGCCGAGCCUAAAUUGACCUAUAAUUCUCAGCAAGCCAUAACGUAUGAGGAAAGUUUGUCGUAUACGUGAUCUGUGCAUCCAACAUCAAGAAGGGCCGAUGUCCAUGACUGUGUGACAGUGUCCCCUGGUGUAAUUGCCCUCUUUUGCUAUGAUCCAGCCCCUGAACAAAUCAUCCAGCCACUUUCCACAUCUGCUGCAUGUCAGCAUCUGCCAGACGUGCUCACCCGUCCCGGACGCUGCCAGCGAGCCUUCAUUACGCCUGCUGCUGAACAGAAGAAUGCAUCCGUUUUAUAUUGUCCCCCAGAUACGGUGAUACUAGGGUAUAUCAACCUUUCUGACCUAAGGAACCCACAAGACUCAGCCAAUUCAGGGACCCCGUAAUGUUCUCUUGGGGAAUCCGUGAAACUUUUAGUACUCUAAAGCCAUAAUCUUCAAAAGAGCGACGACACGGCAGUUUCCCGGUCUAUUGUCCGCCUGCACUGUAGACAGGAAUAAAGAAACAAAACCAAACCAAGGAUCCACGCCCAUCCGUAAACAUAGCCCCACCUCAAGACGCGACUAAAUGAACGAUUCCACAUUUACCAGACUGAGUUGGCCUCCCUGGUGCUCUGAUGGUUUUAUUGUUCAGGAGG